GCUGGGUUAGCUCAGUUGGUAGAGCAUCAGACUUUUAAUCUGAGGGCCAUGGGUUCGAGUCCCAUAUCGGGCU
rnacentral:tRNA from 1 species